CCACCUAACUGCAUCUUUAUAGAGUAACCAGUCGGGGAGAGAGAGGGAGCAGAGAAGAGUAGAGCAAGGAGAAGAGGGUACGGCGGCGGAGAAGGGGGAGGGAGAGCCGGCGGAGUAGUGGUGGGGGAGGAGGAGGGGACGGAGGAGUGGGCUAAUCGUACAGGUCCGCUGCUGGACGUUCGUUUCCCUCUGUUACUACCGAGAGCUAAGCAAGACGUCCUUUCUUUCCUACUCUCCCUCUCUCUCUUCCCUCCUCUCCUCCCUCUUUCUCUAUCUUCUUUCCUUUCCCUCCACGAGACCGGCGAGUAGAUCCGGAGCCACCAGGUCCCUCCGCAUCUACCGUUUAAAAAAUAAGGUCGGAGGCAGUACUAGGUAGUCUAGGCGUUUAGUAGGCUCCGGGGUGCUUGUGGUCCACAAACCGCGGCGGGGGUCCUCGAGAGUGGCGGAGGGCUCCUGGAGGAGAGGAAACGACGGGGCUCCCUACGGAACUUGAGGAGACAGGUACCACUCGUCUCCCGGUUUGGAGUUGCCUCCUCAUUAUAUAUGGGUCAAACAAACAAACUUCCUACGUUGUUGUACGUUUUUAUUAAAACGGCCACAAGUUUGUGGUUUAACGUAGACCGCCUGAUAGAUGCUACAACACCGUAACCUGAUACUCUUUCAAUGUCAGAAAUAACUACGUUGUCAACAACGUUCCGGUUUAUAGGUAAACCCACUCAUGAGAAGAAAGUGUGGUCGGAAAGAUAAAAUGAGAACUGCACUUUAUGAACAUCUCGACCGAGAACCACUAAGGAAUACGUAUACAAAUUUGAUUUCAACUGUCCAAUAAACUGUAAUUCGUCCUUUUCGAACUUCACAUUAAAAGGUACAAUUCUUUUAAGUGCACAGUUCUAGGAAACGAAGGUCAGUACCCUACAUGAUUCUCGAUGUUACUCAACUUCAGUAUCAGACAUAUCAUCACAAUAGUUUAACUAAAGGGAAAAUGUAGCCACAAGAAACAAAUUCACCGUGUCAGUUUCAUGAAACGAUGGCCUUGUGUGAGUGGGUUUCACAGCUAGACGUAGGUAUGUAUUAAAUGAUUUACAAAAUAAAACUCAAAAGAUGUAUACGUUCGACUUAUAAAACAAAGGUGUGUUUUUGGUGUCAUAAAACAUUUCUUGCGUUCAUAUUAAUACCGAGUACAACAACUUACGUUAGAGCGGUAAAACUAUCAACUCUCUUUUACUUAUAUAACAAUUAAUAGAAAUUAGACAAAGGAUACUAAAUCAUAUUAGAUACUGGCUUCCAUAAACGAAAUACAAUGGGUCGUUCAUAAUCUCUAUACUCCUGAUAGCAGCACCUUUCUGGUUGGAACCUUCUCACCGCGGCAACACAACGAGCACCACAUAAAGUAAGAACCGUGGCUUCACCGUAUGUACGAAUCCACGUAGCCUCAGUUUUUUUGUACGACGAUGGAGAACGACAGACAGGUAGGCCGUAUAUUGAAGAUUAGACAGGUUAUAUGUCAAAAAAAACAAAACCUGACGUGGGAAUAUUAAAACGAAACGACUUAAGUGAUACAAAUGAAGUCAAGCGAAAACUCAAUCGUUAUUACUGAUCAAUUGUUACAAAAUCGACUACUAAGGCCUGUCAUAGCUGGCCAAGUAACUCGUCUCACCACCCUUCGAGGUCUUGUGGGAAAGGUUUAUAUUAAAGGAAAAGUAGUAACACUUCCAACUAAAAUGGAUAAAUUGAAGUUACCGCUGGAGGGACGUGAGGGUCAAAAACGGAUCCUAAGAGUAAAUUUACCACUCGUUAGUCUAAGGCUUAUAGCUGAGAAAUCACAACUUGCACUGUAUAGAACAUAACAAUAAGGAUAGAAGAGAUCGGAACAUAACGACUGAAGAUCUCUAUACCAUCCUAAUCAAAGGAACAGUGCGUUCUGUAGGACACAUAUAUAAUAUUGGAUGAGAUACCUUAUGUU
rnacentral:rRNA from 1 species